rnacentral:rRNA from 1 species
GACGAACGCUGGCGGCGUGCCUAACACAUGCAAGUCGAACGGAGAUGUUGAUUUCGGUUGACGUCUUAGUGGCGAACGGGUGAGUAACGCGUGAACAAUCUGACCUUAAGAGGGGGAUAACAACGAGAAAUCGUUGCUAAUACCGCAUAAGACCACAAUGCCGCAUGGCGAAGGGGUCAAAGGAGCAAUCCGCUUAAGGAGGGGUUCGCGUCCCAUUAGGUAGUAGGUGAGGUAACGGCCCACCUAGCCGACGAUGGGUAGCCGAGCUGAGAGGCUGAUCGGCCACACUGGAACUGAGACACGGUCCAGACUCCUACGGGAGGCAGCAGUGGGGAAUAUUGGGCAAUGGGCGCAAGCCUGACCCAGCAACGCCGCGUGAGGGAAGAAGGUUUUCGGAUUGUAAACCUCUGUCGCAGAUGACGAAACAAAUGACGGUAAUCUGUGAGGAAGCCCCGGCUAACUACGUGCCAGCAGCCGCGGUAAU